rnacentral:misc_RNA from 1 species
GAGGUUGUUAUUAGCAAGAUCCAAUAUUUGCAACGAAGUCAUGCGGCAAAGCUCUUUGGGUAUGUGACCAUGAAAUUUGUUCCCACGAAGAUUGAGAAUAUCCAUCGAUGAUAUUUGUUCCCCGAAAAAUGAAUAAUAUUGCAUCCCCAGCCAUGUUGGAAUGUUUCCACUCAAUCCAUUUUCACCCAAGUCAAGUACUCUUAAUUGUUUGCAAUGUUUAAGUGACAAUGGUAUUUUGCCGGAGAGAUUAUUGUUGCGAAGGUUUAAGAAUGAAAGGUCACUCAAAGUUCCAAUGGAUCUAGGAAUUUUUCCACCGAAAUAAUUGUCAUUUAAUUCUAUGACUGCUAAAGACUUCCAAUUCAUCCAACAAUCAGGU